rnacentral:sRNA from 1 species
GGGGUGGUUGUGGUGGUUGUGGGAGCACUGGUAGUUGUUGUAUUCGGGGUGGUUGUGGGAGCACUGGUAGUUGUUGUAUUCGGGGUGGUUGUGGGAGCACUGGUAGUUGUUGUAUUUGGGGUGGUUGUGGGAGCACUGGUAGUUGUUGUAUUCGGGGUGGUUGUGGGAGCACUGGUAGUUGUUGUAUUCGGGGUGGUUGUGGGAGCACUGGUAGUUGUUGUAUUCGGGGUGAUUGUGGGAGCACUGGUAGUUGUUGUACUCAGGGUGGUUGUGGGAGCACUGGUAGUUGUUGUACUCAGGGUGGUUGUGGGAGCACUGGUAGUUGUUGUACUCAGGGUGGUUGUGGGAGCACUGGUAGUUGUUGUAUUCGGGGUGGUUGUGGGAGCACUGGUAGUUGUUGUACUCAGGGUGGUUGUGGGAGCACUGGCAGUUGUUGUACUCAGGGUGGUUGUGGGAGCACUGGUAGUUGU